rnacentral:lncRNA from 1 species
UGAAGUUCUCCUAAUGCAGUCCUAUAUAUAUUAAAUUCACCACAGAUAGGCAAUGGCCCCUCCAUCAGACUUCUGACGUCAACUAAUUCCUCUCAUACCAGUCUUCAUUCUAAUUUUCUGUUAGAAGCAUACACACAAGUGAUAUGGCAUUCAAAAUCAUUUAAUUGGGCCUAAAAUCUAAACCCUAUACCUUAGAAACUAAACCUGAAACCUUAACCUUAGGGCCUAAAUCUCAAAUCCUAAACCUUACAACAUCAACCCUAAACCCUAAACCUACGUGCCUAACCUAAACCCUAAUUUCUAAACCUUAAACCUUAGGGCCUAAACCCUAAACUCGAAACCCUAUACCCUAAACUCUAAAACUUAGGUCCUAAACCCUAAACCUAGUGCCUAAACCCUAAACUAUAAACCUAAUGGCCUAAACCCUAAACCCUAAACCUUAGGACCUAGACCCUAAAGCCUAAAAUAUAUACUCUAAACUCUAAACCUUAGACUUUAAUCACUAAACCAUAAACCAUAAGCCUUAAACCCUAAAGCAUAAAGCAUAAAAUCUAAACCUUAGGUCCUAAAUCUCAAAUCCUAAACCUUACAACAUCA